UUACAAAUCCCUCUGAUACGAGUUUGAUGCUUGCGUUGCGGGUGAGAAAAUGGGUUCUGGAGAUGCGAGGACAUUGAGUUACUCAUGAAGUAGGAGAUUUGCUGAUUUAGUUUGGAGAAAGGUAAAUUCUCAUCCUUGGUAGCAUGUUUAUCUCAACAUCGAUUCUAAUCAUGUCGGAUUAACAUGAAUUAUACUCAUCUGUUUUGGAUGGUGAUUUGAAAUAUGAAACAAGUUCUCCGCUUUGAGAAACUAUGUUACAUUAAAAAAAAAUUUGGGGGGGGGGGUUAAUUCGUGUGAAUGUAAACGAAAGAUCGAAUCUAAAACUGAACGUUUGAAUCCAAGUCCGAUUUGAAUAGCUUUAUAGAAGUAAUAAUGUUUUCUUACACAGUUACACUGAAUCUAAUCAACACAUGGAAUUUAGUAAAUUACAUGCUUGCCCAGGUUCUUUAUGGGGCGCAAGUCUAUUAAAAAAUUAAAGUUAGUCCACUAUGUUUAUACUCACACUCUCAAGUGAUGUUCUUACUUAACACCGCUUCCAUAAACCUGGUGUAUAAUGGGUUGUGGAAAUUGGUAUUUUACCCAAAUUAUAAAGGUGUAAUGGUAAAAGAGUACAUAUUUUGUUGUUUCGAUUUGCUAUUAAAAUGUGUUUCAGUUUUUUUUUUUUCUCUAUCUCUCACUUGGCUUUUCAGAUGGAAUGUAAACCAUAAAUAUUUAUUCUAGAUUUUAAGUCAAAUUCUAACAUGGAUUGGAAGCCACUCUUAGAAGAAGUUUAUCCAUCUUUUGGGACAUGUUUGUGUAUAUGGUUGUUUUAG
rnacentral:lncRNA from 1 species